rnacentral:rRNA from 1 species
GAAUAUUGCGCAAUGGCCGCAAGGCUGACGCAGCGACGCCGCGUGGAGGAUGAAGCCCCUCGGGGUGUAAACUCCUGUUGCUCGGGACGAACCAUGGGUUUCGACCCAUCUGACGGUACCUGCAGAAAAAGCACCGGCUAACUACGUGCCAGCAGCCGCGGUAAUACGUAGGGUGCAAGCGUUAUCCGGAAUUAUUGGGCGUAAAGAGCUAGUAGGCGGUUUGUCGCGUCUGCUGUGAAAACUGGAGGCUCAACCUCCAGCCUGCAGUGGGUACGGGCAGACUAGAGUGCGGUAGGGGAGACUGGAAUUCCUGGUGUAGCGGUGGAAUGCGCAGAUAUCAGGAGGAACACCGAUGGCGAAGGCAGGUCUCUGGGCCGUAACUGACGCUGAGGAGCGAAAGCGUGGGGAGCGAACA